AAAAUCUUAAAAUAGGCCGUUCCAAGAUGCUGUCAAAAUUAAAUCAAUAUGGCUACCGGAAGGCAAACAUUGAAUAUUAUUCUAUCAGGUUCUUAUGGUUUUAGAUCAUUUUAGUUGUUGUACAAAGAUUAAUUUAACAUUUUCUCUGGAAGUAUUAAUUUAGAAAGAUAAUAUGCCUCAUUGGUGUUGUGUUUUGAAGUGUGAAAUGCAAAGUAAUCGUGAUAAAGUUAGCUUUUACCACUUACCAUCAGUGCUACAUUCUAAGCACAAAACUGAACCAAUUUAACUAAAUAAGUUAUAGUUAUCAUCUGAGAGACAACAACAAUGGUAAAAUGCAAUAAAAUAUUAAGAUUUUACUAGCAAAAUGGAAAUUCCCCUGUAAUCAUCUUAUAUCUGGAAAACCAGCCGACUUAACUGAUAAUAACAAUCCAGAUUGGGUUCCUUCAAUAAAUAUGGGGUAUAUAAACACAAUGAAAUGAGUUCCCCAAAAUCUAAAAUGGGAAUUAAGGUACCAAAGGAGAAUUAAAAGAAAAGGGUACCUACAAGAAAAAA
rnacentral:lncRNA from 1 species